UACGUAGGUGGCAAGCGUUGUCCGGAUUUAUUGGGUUUAAAGGGUGCGUAGGCGGUCCUAUAAGUCAGUUGUGAAAUACGGCAGCUUAACUGUCGAGGUGCAAUUGAUACUGCAGGACUUGAGUACAGACGAGGUAGGCGGAAUUGACGGUGUAGCGGUGAAAUGCUUAGAUAUCGGGAGGAAUACCAGUGGCGAAAGCGCCUUGCUGGGCCAUUAUUGACGCUGAGGAACGAAAGCCAGGGUAGCGAAAGGG
rnacentral:rRNA from 1 species